rnacentral:lncRNA from 1 species
AUGUUGUUCAUCAUCCCCUGUUAAAGAAGAAACAUCAUCUUGAUGUAAAAUCAUGGGGAUUGACUCAAGGGAACACAGACCAAACACACCUCCGCAAACACACUAGGACAUCCAGAAUUUUGCGCCGUUACUAAAUUCGCACUAGGGGAAUCCAAACGGGAUAAGAAAAACUCGGCUCGAGCGUCCCAUGCUGGAACGAAUCACAGGGGAGGCCGAAUUACCUUGAGGCCCCAUGGGAUGUACGUCAUGGCGACGACCUCCUUGGUUCCCUUGAGUCGUGUGAGGCCGAAGUUGUCGGCGCCAAGUCCUUGAGCAGCUCGUACCUCUCCAUGGAUCCCUGCCUACGUGGAGCGACAACUACUACUGGAGGCGCCGGCGCUCCUCUCCUUGUGUUGGCGCAAGGCCUGGACCUUUUGGUCUCGUAGAUCUACUCCUCCAGGUCCGUGCUCGCGGAAUCCUCUGGGCUGGUCGUGGUUUGAUAAUAUUUGCAUUCAUCGUAUGCCUUAGCAUACACAGGGUACAUGGGUAGAAAUAUCUGCUAUACAGAAAAAGGAUCGGAAGAUAAAC